UUACCGAGUUUACAACUCCCAAACCCCUGUGAACAUACCACUUGUUGCCUCGGCGGAUCAGCCCGCUCCCGGUAAAACGGGACGGCCCGCCAGAGGACCCCUAAACUCUGUUUCUAUAUGUAACUUCUGAGUAAAACCAUAAAUAAAUCAAAACUUUCAACAACGGAUCUCUUGGUUCUGGCAUCGAUGAAGAACGCAGCAAAAUGCGAUAAGUAAUGUGAAUUGCAGAAUUCAGUGAAUCAUCGAAUCUUUGAACGCACAUUGCGCCCGCCAGUAUUCUGGCGGGCAUGCCUGUUCGAGCGUCAUUUCAACCCUCAAGCACAGCUUGGUGUUGGGACUCGCGUUAAUUCGCGUUCCUCAAAUUGAUUGGCGGUCACGUCGAGCUUCCAUAGCGUAGUAGUAAAACCCUCGUUACUGGUAAUCGUCGCGGCCACGCCGUUAAACCCCAACUUCUGAAUGUUGACCUCGGAUCAGGUAGGAAUACCCGCUGAACUUAAGCAUAUCAAA
rnacentral:rRNA from 1 species